GGUAGAGUGGCCGAGCAGGUGGCGGAUUGUAGCUCCGAAGACAGAGGUUUGACACCUCUCUUUACCA
rnacentral:tRNA from 1 species